UACGUAGGGGGCAAGCGUUAUCCGGAUUUAUUGGGCGUAAAGAGCUCGUAGGCGGCUGAUCACGUCGGUUGUGAAAGCUCAGGGCUCAACCCUGAGACGCCAAUCGAUACGGAUCGGCUAGAGGUAGGUAGGGGAAAGUGGAAUUCCUGGUGUAGCGGUGAAAUGCGCAGAUAUCAGGAGGAACACCGGUGGCGAAGGCGGCUUUCUGGGCCUUACCUGACGCUGAGGAGCGAAAGCUGGGGGAGCAAACAGG
rnacentral:rRNA from 1 species